rnacentral:lncRNA from 1 species
UUUUGAAUGUAUUGUCUCUGAGUAUGGACAACAUUGUUUUGCUGCUUAUGAGGGGUACUAUUUUAGAUCGUUGUCCUGCAUAGGAGAUGUGGUAUGUUGUAAGAAAAUGUUAUUGUUGUUGUAGCAUAAUCAGUGUCGACCCCGACAUUUGGGUUGCCCUAAUCCGAUAUAUGAAAGAAAAAAAAAUCAAAAAAAAAUGUUGCAUAAUCAUACUUGAAAACGAAAAAAAAAUGUUCACUAUCCCUAUAUGAAAAGAAAUGUUGCAUAAUCAUACUUGAAAACGAAAAAAAAAUGUUCACUAUCCCUAUGUGAAAAGAAAGUAUAAAUAUCAAAAUGAUGUGACAGUGACUCUUCUAUAAAUGAAAACAUCGUCUGGUAUAUUCUGUUUCCAAAUUUUUUUU